GGGCAUCUCGGCCAUCCUGAAGUGAUAAACAACUGCUCUCUGAAGACAAAUACUCCGAUAUGUGUGUGUGCGAAAAUUAUUUUAAUGAUAUUAUCUUGACAUCAAUUGUUGUCUGCGUGUUAAAUUUAUUGAGCUUUAAUUGAAAAACAAUGCGUUGCUCUCAAUAUAAAAAAAAACUAUUCGAAACCAUUUAUAGAGAUUAAUAUUUUGAUUUUUGUGGAUUGUUUUUUUUUAUGACUAAAAUUUAUAAUUGUU
rnacentral:misc_RNA from 1 species